rnacentral:rRNA from 1 species
UACGGAGGGGGCUAGCGUUGUUCGGAAUUACUGGGCGUAAAGCGUACGUAGGCGGUUUUGUAAGUUAGAGGUGAAAGCCCGGAGCUCAACUUCGGAAUUGCCUUUAAGACUGCAUCACUUGAACGUCGGAGAGGUGAGUGGAAUUCCGAGUGUAGAGGUGAAAUUCGUAGAUAUUCGGAAGAGCACCAGUGGCGAAGGCGGCUCACUGGCCCGGUACUGACGCUGAGGUGCGAAAGCGUGGGGAGCAAUCAGG